GUGGUACUCCCUCCGUUCGGAAUUACUUGUCGCAGAAAUGGAUGUAUCUAGACGUAUUUUAGUUCUAGAUACAUCUAUUUUCGCGACAAGUAAUUCCGAACGGAGGGAGUAUUUG
rnacentral:pre_miRNA from 1 species